rnacentral:rRNA from 1 species
UGGGGAAUCUUCCACAAUGGGCGAAAGCCUGAUGGAGCAACGCCGCGUGUGUGAUGAAGGGUUUCGGCUCGUAAAACACUGUUGUAAGAGAAGAAUGACAUUGAGGGUAACUGUUCAAUGUGUGACGGUAUCUUACCAGAAAGGAACGGCUAAAUACGCGCCAG